rnacentral:rRNA from 1 species
CAGUAGCCGCGGGAAUACAGAGGGUGCAAGCGUUAAUCGGAAUCACUGGGCGUAAAGCGCGCGUAGGUGGUUUGUUAAGUUGGAUGUGAAAUCCCCGGGCUCAACCUGGGAACUGCAUCCAAAACUGGCAAGCUAGAGUAUGGUAGAGGGUGGUGGAAUUUCCUGUGUAGCGGUGAAAUGCGUAGAUAUAGGAAGGAACACCAGUGGCGAAGGCGACCACCUGGACUGAUACUGACACUGAGGUGCGAAAGCGUGGGGAGCAAACAGGAUUAGAUACCCGAGUAGUCCCUGUCUCUUAUAA